CAAACGGCGGGACGGACAAGCUCAGAAAUAUUUUCGUUACACGACGCUUUCUUUCUUUCACGAAUUUAGUUCAAUUUCCACAUUUCUUUCAUAUUCCUAUAGCCUACAGCUUUAGGAAUCGGAAAAGGCCUUCUGUGCAUGUACUGGGUUCUUAUUCUUUCUAUAGUCCAUCAAAACGCUGUCCUGGAGGAGGUUCUGAAUUCUCUGGAAAGUGACCGGGUCCACUGAUGUGAUACAUAAAUGUUCUGCCAAAAAUUGUAGGCGAUAGCUACAUCCAGCAUGGGGAGGAGGGAGUAUGAGAAACCAUGGGGACCAGCAUUGCUCUGGAUGCCUGGGUCCACUGGUUUGGCUGGGAAGGCCUACGAUGGGAAUGCCUUCUGCCCUUCAUUCACCAGUCCCUCAGAGGAAGAGCAGCCCUGGAUAUCCCGCUCAUUUACUGUGGCAGGAAUGACCUCAGCAGGACCAGGAGCCUGGAUCUCCUUGCACUUCCCUGAGACCACAAUCAUCCUGUCUGGAACCACCCAUCGGUGCCAAUCCAGGGAAAAUCGACAAGACCAGGAAGUGGGUGAACACUGCUAGGGCUACAUUUGGUCAGAAAUUAGGUGGAAUUAUUGUCCCACAUCCUCACACAACAUUUAAU